rnacentral:rRNA from 1 species
CGGCAAGAGCUCAGAUUUGAAAUCGUGUUUCGGCACGAGUUGUAGAGUGUAGGCGGGAGUCUCUGUGGAGCGCGGUGUCCAAGUCCCUUGGAACAGGGUGCCUGAGAGGGUGAGAGCCCCGUAGGGUGCUGCGCGAAGCUUUUGAGGCCCUGCUGACGAGUCGAGUUGUUUGGGAAUGCAGCUCCAAGCGGGUGGUAAAUUCCAUCUAAGGCUAAAUAUUGGCGAGAGACCGAUAGCGAACAAGUACUGUGAAGGAAAGAUGAAAAGCACUUUGAAAAGAGAGUGAAACAGCACGUGAAAUUGUUGAAAGGGAAGGGUAUUGGGCUCGACAUGGGGGGUGCGCACCGCUGUCUCUUGUAGGCGGCGCUCUGGGCGCCCUCUGGGCCAGCAUCGGUUCCUGCUGCGGGAGAAGGGGCUCCGGAAAGUGGCUCUUCGGAGUGUUAUAGCCGGGGCCAGAUGCCGCGUGUGGGGACCGAGGACUGCGGCUUCUGUCUCGGAUGCUGGCAUAACGGCGCAAUACCGCCCG